GCCUCCCUUCCGAGGAGGCGGUGCUGGGGCGGGCGCAGGACUGCAGGCUGGGGCUCCGCUCCCCCGCGGGAGCCCGCGCGUGGUUCCCAGCGAAGUCCCCGCGCGGCUGGGCCCAGCGUGAGUAUUCUCCGCCCGCUGUCCUCCCCCUGGAGGCGGCAGCGCCCGUUUAUUUGAGCCAUGUGAAGAUGUGCUUGCUUCGCCUUCCAUCAUGACUGAAGUUUCCUGAGGCCUCCCCAGCUAUGCUCCCUAUACAGCCUGCAGAACGGUCGGCUGCCUCCAAUCCUGAGGUCAUCACUCAUCAAGAGGGGAUAAUCCCAGGGACAGCAGGAUCUGCUUCGUUACUUGGAUUUAGGAGCCAGAAACCCAUCAGGCAACUAAACAGUAACAAUGACCCACCAUUAAACACACUGAGAGAAGAGCAUGAUGAAGAGUUUGUACAAGAAGAAGCCAGGAGCACUUGCUGACAAUGCUUACAGAGACGCAGGCUUCUAUGAGCUCUGCCUGUUGAACUGCAGUAAAAAUAGAUCUCCUUCCCCAGAGAGGCUUGGAUGUGGGCACAAUAUCAGUUCAGACGAUGGUCAAUGCAUGUACUUAAUAGAGUGAAAAGACUUUGGACUGUGAAGUCAGAUUACCUGGGUCUGAAUUGUUAUUCUUCUACUUCUUUGUAGUAUGCUUUCACCACAUUAAAAAUUGUCUGAGCCUCAAU
rnacentral:lncRNA from 1 species